rnacentral:rRNA from 1 species
UACGGAGGGUGCUAGCGUUGUUCGGAAUUACUGGGCGUAAAGGGCGCGUAGGCGGCCGUUUGCGUCGGAUGUGAAAGCCCGGGGCUCAACCUCGGAACGGCAUUCGAUACGGGACGGCUAGAGACCGGGAGAGGAGAGUGGAAUAGCCAGUGUAGAGGUGAAAUUCGUAGAUAUUGGCUGGAACACCGGUGGCGAAAGCGGCUCUCUGGCCCGGUUCUGACGCUGAGGCGCGAAAGCGUGGGGAGCAAACAGG